UACGGGGGAUGCAAGCGUUAUCCGGAAUCAUUGGGCGUAAAGCGCCUGUAGGUUGUCUGAUAAGUCUGCUGUUAAAGGUUAGGGCUUAACCCUAAACACGCAGUGGAAACUACUAGACUUGAGUAUGGCAGGGGUAGGGGGAAUUUCUAGUGUAGCGGUGAAAUGCGUAGAUAUUAGAAAGAACACCAGUGGCGAAGGCGCCCUACUGGACCAUUACUGACACUCAGAGGCGAAAGCUAGGGUAGCAAAAGGG
rnacentral:rRNA from 1 species